rnacentral:lncRNA from 11 species
CAGGACAGCUGGAGGAUAGCAAACAGCACUAGUUUAUGAAACCUGUUUUCUCAUCGAUUGCACUCUCCAAUGUCAUUGCAAAAGGUAGAGCAGUGAGCAAAUAUCAUUCAGAUGUUACCCAUGCUAUCUAAAAUGCAUUACAAAAUCUACCUCUGUACUGACCUGAUGGCAUACAACAGCAGAAGGAUACUUCCAUGGAAUUAGCCAAAACCAAUGUCUCACAUUGCUUUUCUUGAGGAGACAACAAGGAAAGAAAACCACAGAAAACAUAACUAGAGCAACAAAUGAAAGGAAAGAUGGAAAGGAAAGAAAUAAGAAAUAAGAAUACAACUGGCCAGAAAGUACCAGGCAACAAAAUACUGAAAAGAUUAACAGACACAGUUUAAAAACUGCAGGAAGAGAAUUCAGAUCACAUUCUUUAAAACAGUUAUACAC